rnacentral:misc_RNA from 1 species
GAUGAAGAACGCAGCGAAAUGCGAUAAGUAAUGUGAAUUGCAGAAUUCCGUGAAUCAUCGAAUCUUUGAACGCACAUUGCGCCCCUUGGUAUUCCAUGGGGCAUGCCUGUUCGAGCGUCAUUUGUACCUUCAAGCCUUGCUUGGUGUUGGGUGUUUGUCUCGCCUCUGCGCGCAGACUCGCCUCAAAACAAUUGGCAGCCGGCGUAUUGAUUUCGGAGCGCAGUACAUCUCGCGCUUUGCACUCAGAACGACGACGUCCAAAAGUACAUUUUUACACUCUUGACCUCGGAUCAGGUAGGGAUACCCGCUGAACUUAAGCAUAUCAAUAAGCGGAGGA